UACGUAGGCGGCAAGCGUUGUCCGGAUUUAGUGGGUUUAAAGGGUGCGUAGGUGGCUUGUUAAGUCCGGGGUGAAAGCCCACAGCUCAACUGUGGAACUGCCCUGGAUACUGGCGAGCUUGAGUCCAGACGAGGUUGGCGGAAUGGAAGCUGUAGCGGUGAAAUGCAUAGAUAGCUUCCAGAACCCCGAUUGCGUAGGCAGCUGACUAGGCUGGUACUGACACUGAGGCACGAAAGCGUGGGGAGCAAACAGG
rnacentral:rRNA from 1 species